UCUCUCGUGGCUCAGUGGUUAACGCAUCUGUCUUUCGAGCUUAGGGUCCCGGGUUCAACCCCCUUGGUGGUUAAA